rnacentral:rRNA from 1 species
CCUACGGGUGGCAGCAGUGAGGAAUAUUGGUCAAUGGACGGAAGUCUGAAUCAGCCAUGCCGCGUGCAGGAAGACGGCUCUAUGAGUUGUAAACUGCUUUUGUAAAAGGGUAAACCUGAAUACGUGUAUUCAGCUGAAAGUACUGUACGAAUAAGGAUCGGCUAACUCCGUGCCAGCAGCCGCGGUAAUACGGAGGUUCCAAGCGUUAUCCGUAUUGGUUGGGUUGAAAGGGUGCGUAGCCGGUUUGAUAAGUUCGAGGUGAAUUGUCCGAGCUUAACUCGGGAACUGCCUCUAAUACUGUUGAUCUAGAGCGUAGAUGCGGUAGGCGGAAUGUAUGGUGUAGCGGUGCAAUGCUU